rnacentral:lncRNA from 1 species
AUAAGUAGCAGCUUUAUCCCAUCCUGCAACAAGUUGACUCUCCACAGAAGAUCCACAGAGGAUUUUUCAUGCUAUUCACAGGUUACAUGGGACCUCAUCAUCUUUAAUAACCAAAAAUGAUUACAAACACUCCAGAGACCCCAUAUUCAAAUAAAUCUUUCCAGCAGAAGCCGGUGCUAUUCAACAGAGUAAAAGAGUAUGCAAGAGAGGAGAUGAAGACCAGACGACUUGCAAACAGGGUUGGCACAAAAUGGCAGAAGAGAAUCCAAAAAUGGAAGAAGAGCCUCUUUUUACUGACAGAUGCAAUUAGCCAGGAUUCUGCCGUAGCGGCUUUAACGUUCCAGGGGCCAGAUAUCAAAUGAGAGAUGACUGGGAUACAUUUUAGAGCAAGGUCUCUGAUUCAAGAUCACACAGCUGCUCCAAACCAGGAAGAUGGCCUUGAACACAGAUACACAAGUCUCGAGGGUGGCCGGGUACAUUCAGGGU